rnacentral:lncRNA from 7 species
AUGGGUGCAGAAAGGGAAAAGAGAUUAUUAGAGAGCGUGGGAGGCAGAAAAGAAAGGAUGAAAAACAGCGAUGAUAAAUUAGAUAAGGAAGACAGCUAAAGUCAGAAAAAUUUCAGUGCCUUCACUCACCCCUAUCCAUAUAAAAAUUGUCACUCGAAGAACUGCACAUAAUGUGACAGUUAUUCUCUCCCCUCAGACCGUAUAUUUGGAUUCCAUAAUGAUGACUACAGUCCCAGGACACAAUGACCAUUUUUUUUUCCUUCCCUCUGUGACAGCUUGAUAAUUUGCAGUCAGUUACAUUUCCUAUUCAAAGACCUUGCAAAACUUUAAGGACUUACCAUAAGGCUUAAGGAGCAUUGCUCCAAAAUAAAAAGCAACAGCUAUAAAUAAAUUUCACAUUUUUGAGAAAAUCCAAAUGGCCAAGCUGUUUGUCUUUGGCAUCAACUGUCAGCAGACAGUCAAGCUUGGUAUCUAAGUAAGAUUUUACAGACAGCGUUAGUACAUUCAUUUUUGUUUGUUACAUUAUUGCACAUUGCAGAAUUGCAACAGAAACUGAUAGGAAAUAAUCAUAGAAUAGAAUCAGAGAAUCAUAGAAUCACCAACCUUGGAAAAGACCCACAGGAUCACCCAGUCCAACCAUCCACCCAUCACCAAUACUUAUCAUUAAACCAUGUCCCUCAACACAACAUCCAAACGUUCCUUGACCAAGGUCGGUGACUCCACCACCUCCCUGGGUGACUCCUCCACCUCCCAUUCCAGUGCCUAAGAUCAGUGCCUAAUAUUUAUAUGUUUAUAUUUAAAAAGUCAUUUCUACAGCAAUUCUUGAAGUGGAAAAAGGACUUUUUCUUUUUGUGGUGAGGCACUGGAACAGGUUGCCCAGAGAGGUGGUGGUGCUCCAUCCCUGCAGACACCCAAGGUGAGGCUGCACGGGGCUCUGAGCAGCCUGAUCUAGCUUCAGGUGUCCUUGUUACUUGAAGGGGGUUAGACAAGAUGAUCUUUAAAGCUCCAUUCCAGAUUAAAUGGUUCUAUGAUUCUAGAAGUGUGUAGAAAUACUCACAUGAAUGUAGGAUGUAGGGAGCGAACCCUCAGUCAAUUAUGAAUAUACAUGUCUGCUAUACACAGUGGAAAACAAAACAAAACAAAACAAAACAAAACAAAACAAAACAAUGUGUUUAACUAUAGAUCUUUCUCAGGGUUGGGAUUCCCAGAAAUAGCUGAGAGACUUAGAAUAAUCACCAGUGAUCUUCACCAGAACCCAGGGUCCUAAAUCGAUCUAUUUUAUUUACACUGUGAGCCACAUAUUUUAGGCAAAGGAAAGGCAGAAUGACUAUAAGAGGUUUUUUUCUUCUGUUUCUGUGGUUUCCAUAAGUAGAUUUUCUACACUUUAAUUACUGUUUUUCUGUUCCUAAUGUAAAGCUGUUGAAACAUAUUCCACUGCAGUUAUUGGACUCUGAUUGCUUCAUUGGUUUCCAUUUGCCACAAGGAAACCUUUGAAGGAUGGAUGAACUGAAUGUGAGAGCAGGAGGAAGGCAAUAGCCAUCUUUGGACAAAAAUUACAGAGGACAGCUGUCCCUUCUGCCACUGUGAAGCGGCUCUGGGGUGUAAACGGAUCUGCUGACUGUGGAUGGAGGGUUGCUGUUUCAGGAGCAACUGCAAAUUCAGACACAUGAGAAUUGAUAAGCUGACACAAGCGGCCUUUCUCUGAAGAGUGGCCUUGCAGAAAGUCUGGGGAACCAGACAGAGGUUGAGAAGGCACCAAAGAGAGAUGGAUGCAAGGUGGCUGUGAGGCCUAUUGAUUCGAAAACCACCUUCCCCACAAAGCAGAGACGGAAAAGAAAAGCAGCAGAGAUUCAUCCAUCUGCUGCUAAGGACACAGAUGAGCCCCCAGCUAGAAAACUACCUAUGGCGAUUCUUGCUUCAGUCCCACCUGAAUACACCUUGGUCAGCACUGAAGUCAUAAAACUUCCAAGCAGUCUGGAACUGCUUCCAGGAACACAGACAUACUCUGUGGCACAGUCAGAGGUCUCAAACUCAACAGCCCAUUCCUCACAAGAAGCAGAUAAGACGCAGCAGCUGAGAUGCACAGAGGCGGGGAAAGCACUCGUCUCUGAAGAUGAUGACCUUCAGAAGUUAUUGAUGGAAAUCACAGGAGAACUGGAAGGAGAAAAUGAUGUGGAUGCUGAAAAGGGUGUGGAUGAGCUCCUUCUGGAACUGUCUGAGAUCACUGACAGCGUGAUACCACAGUCUGAUUGUAUAUUUUAAAACAAACAACAGCAACAACCAAUUAAAACCAACCCUGUUCCUUU